rnacentral:tRNA from 1 species
GUGGGUCGGCGCAUUGAAUCAGGCAGAUUACAGAACAUACAUCAAACCCGUGAUGAACCGGAUCUUUUCAGAGCU